rnacentral:sRNA from 1 species
AGAAAGGGGCAGGCUGAGGCUGGGGGAGGGGCUCAAGGGAGGGCCCAGGCAGGCAGUGCGGAGCUGGCCGUGGGCUGCCUGCCCUUUCAUCUCUGCAACUCCUUCCUCCCUGGGCCUCCCUUCUGGAGAAGGGCCAGAGAAUGUCGUCCCAGCCAGCAGGGAACCAGACCUCCCCCGGGCCCACAGAGGACUACUCCUAUGGCAGCUGGUACAUCGAUGAGCCGCAGGGGGGCGAGGAGCUCCAGCCAGAGGGGGAAGUGCCCUCCUGCCACACCAGCAUACCACCCAGUCUGUACCACGCCUGCCUGGCCUCGCUGUCAAUCCUUGUGCUGCUGCUCCUGGCCAUGCUGGUGAGGCGCCGCCAGCUCUGGCCUGACUGUGUGCGUGGCAGGCCCGGCCUGCCCAGAAAGUGGGACUGACUCCACCUCCUUGAUUUAUGGAAUACAGCUGGGAGGUAAUGGGGGUGCAAGGGCUGAGCAACUCCCUCCUUCCCUGUCCUUGCCUCUGUGCUAGCCCUGUGGAUUUCCUGGCUGGGGACAGGCCCCAGGCAGUGCCUG